rnacentral:lncRNA from 1 species
UCCUUUGACUUCAGCCUCCAAGGAGUUCCACCACUUUGGCGUGCCGGCUUCACUUUCAUUAAGUGAAAGACAUCUCCCUCCCAAACCCGAAGACACCGUAAGCAUCAGUGGAUGUCAGUGCAAAGCUGCCCGGAUGUUUGGAUCUGGAUUUUCAACUAUUGACUGCUACGGAGAGCAUAGAACAUGGAAUUUUCAUCGCUCACCUGGGUUUUACUCUGGUUAGAGGCAUCUCAAGGAUUCUUCAUGUGGCUGGCCUUCUCUGACUGAACACAGGAGGAAGCCUCCGUCCUUGAGGCAGUUAUGGGUUCAGAAGGAUAUGACAUCAUACCUGUCAUGGUCUCCCCAAAUUUUUCUGUGGGAAGACUGGGAACGUUUCAGAGCUCUCUAAUUCACCUUCACUCAGCAGUUCCUUUUUAUUUUCUGCCUACUUAGCUGCUUCACACAGAGAGCUGUAAUUAAAGGACAAGAUAGAUUUCAACACGACAAACUAUCAGUGUGAAGAUCAAGUUGUUGAGUUUCCAUACUCCUGAAUUACUCCUUCUAAUAAGCACAAGGAGUCUUCAUCGUGGGGCCUGUGCCCUGCUUGAGGUCUGUCUAUUUUUUUAUAUUUUUGCCUUUCUGGGGAUGGAAUCUAUACAUGCCAGGCAAAGGGCUUCUUUACAGCUAAGCUGUACCUCUUAGUCUAAAUAAUAGCUUGCAAAAAUGUAAGAAAAAUGAAAAUUUAUUACAGAAUUUUUUUAAAGAAUCCUUAAAAUUGAACAGGAACAAAAACCCUUUAAUCCAGCAUCAAGACACAAAACGAAACCAAAUAAACAAACAAAGAAAAUUACAGGGGAAGCUGGUCAUAGUGACCCAUGCAUGAAAACCCAUCAGUCCUAAAGUAAGGCAGCUGCAUGGCUGAGAACUCAAGGAAAACUUGGGUUAUAUAACAAGACUCCACCUCACCGCAGCAAGAAGGGUGAGGAAAGAUGGUGGCUAAAUACAGAGUGUUCUUUCCUGGGUGUCCUGCAGGUUUUGCUGUUGUUGUUUUAUUUUGAGACAGGAUUACACUUGUAGUCUUGAUUGGCCCAGAACUGGCUAUGUUGAUCAAACUGGUCUCAAAUUUGUAACCAUCUCUGUUUUUCCUUCUGGAGUGCAGAGAUCACAAACUUGAACCUCUAUGACAGUGCUAAGAAUCAAACUCAGGACUUCCCAAGUGCUAAGCAAGCACUCGACGAAAUGAGCUACAUUUGGAGCCCAUACAUUUGCUAUAUUGUCAAAAGCAUUAGAGAUACCUUUAUAUGCAAAUCUAUACCCUUCAGCUUUUAGUUAAAGUUUUCCUUGUGUGAUUUUCUUGGCUGGUGCUGGGAAUGGACCCCAGAGUACAUGUUAUUCACUCUGCCUCUGUGUUGUAUCCCUAUUCCAACAUACAGGCUGGUGAUGGCAGGACUUCUCAGGCAUUGCUACCGUAAUUAUGUAAGGCCUCUUCUAUGGGGAAUACAUUUAAUUUAGUCCACAAUUUGCUAUUGCGUGUAACAUAUACUAAACAACAUUAUUUUCUCUUCAAGAUUGUAAGAAGUGUUAAGUAUAAAUUUUAAGAAUUAGAGUCAGAGUUUUGAACACUGAUCUCACAGUAUAGUUCAGACUAGCCUGGGAUUUAUCACUGAGCCCAGGCUGGCCUCAGACUCAUCACAAUCAUCCUGCCUCAGACUCUUGAGUGCUAGAAUUUACAGGUAGAAGCCUCUACAUACAGCUUUAAACCUUUAAAAACUAAAUUUAGCAAUAGCUGGGAUUAAAGGAGGUACCACCACUGCCCAGUUAGUGUUUUGAUUUUUGUUAUGGUGGGAGUUCUACUCAGUUGAUAGAGUGCUUGCCUUUUAUGCACAAAUACUUAAGAUUCAUCCUUAGACUCAUCAUAAACAGUCAAGGUUGCACAUGUCUGUGAUCCUACCUCUUUAAGGGUGAAGGAAAAAGGAUCAAGACCAUAUAUCAGCUAAAUAGACCAUUUGGGGACAACUUAGGCUAUAUAUAAGACAGCCUAUCUCAAAAGAAAAUAUAAAAUUAACUUUGUUUCUCUCUGACCCACGUUUUAAAACGUGGGGCUGGGACUGUAGAGAUGGCUCAAAGGUUAAGAGCAUGGGCUACUCUUGAACACAAGACCCGAGUUCAGUUCCCAGCAUCUGUAGCCCACACCUACCUGUAACUCCAGCUCUAGGAGAUUCAAAACCCUCUUGUGGCCUCCAUAUCCACCUGUACUCAAGUAUGUAGCCAUAUACACAUACACAUAUACAUAUAUAUAAUCAAAUAUAAAAUAAUAAAUCUUGAAUUUUUUUAGAUAUUUCUGGUUUGGGUAUGAACAUUGUUGGAUCAGCUUUACUUUCAACAUUCAAAGGCCUUCCCAUUAGACAGAGAUUUGGAAUUCAACCAUAUUUCUUCUAUACAAGGCAUGUAGUUGUGCCUGGCCUAGAACUAUUUAGACUAGAACUCAUAUAAAUCCAGUUACCUCUGCCUCCCAAGUGUGAUGAUUACAGGAGUGUCUAGCCAUGCCUGGAUCAAUCAGGCCUAGUUCCUUAUUGUAGGAUUUUGAAAUUUUCAUUCUUUGUUAACCUUGCUCCUUUGGAAAGAAAAAUAGACAAAGCACCCAUUGAGGGACUGUGGAUGUGGUCCGGGUGAUAGAGUGUGUCUUAAGGUUUUACUACUGUGAACAAACACCAUGACCAAGACAACUCUUAUAGGGACAACAUUUAAUUGGGGCUGGGUUACAGGUUCAGAGGUUCAGUCAAUUAUCAUCAAGGUGGGAGCAUGGCAGCAUCCAGGCAGGCAUGGUACAAGAGGAGGUGAGAGUUCUACAUCUUUAUCUGAAGACUGCUAGCAGAAUACAGACUUUCAGGCAGCUAGGAUGAGGGUCUUAAAGCCCACACCCACAGUGACACAACUACUCCAACAGGGCCACACCCUCUAGUCACGCCACUCCCUGGGCAGAGCAUAUGCAAACCAUCACAGAGUGCUUGCCUAGUACUUAUAAAACCCGGUGUUGGACUCUUAGAAAAGAAAUUCAAAGCUGGGCGUGGUGGCGCACGCCUUUAAUCCCACCACUCCGGAGGCAGAGGCAGUCGGAUUUCUGAGUUCGAGGUCAGCCUGGUCUACAAAGUGAGUUCCAGGACAGCCAGAGCUACACUGAGAAAUCCUGUCUGGAAAAACCAGAAAGAUUUAAAAAAAAAAAAUUUCAAGGUCACCUUCAGCUAUAGAACAAGAACAAGGCCAACCUAGGACACAUGAGAUCUUGUCUCUGGAAAAACAAAAGCAGUGAGGCUUACACUGAAUUCUUUUUCUUUAUUAUUCAACAAUUAAUUCAAUAUCAUUCUUCUGCUCUCCUUUUGAUUGAGACAGGGUAUCUCUAUGUAUGUCAGGCUGCCUACAACUCAGUACUUAAUGAUCCUCCUGCCUCAGCCUGUUCAGUACAGGGAUUAUAAGCAUGUUCUCCUACCCUGGGCCUGUUUUCUUUUCAACAACAGUUUUUUACAUGGAGGUAGAGAUAUGCUCAUUAACCCUUUGGUGAAACAUUGUGCCUAUGACACCAAUGAAGAUUCCCAGAACAAGAAAGCCUGAAGUACGAGAGAUAUGUAAGAAGAAGAGCCCUACCACGGGAGUAGACAGAGUCUGCACAGAUGAUUAUAGUGGCAACUGUGUAACAAAGCCGAGACUGACAGGAGCAGCCUGCACAAAGCCCACACAGCUACAGAGAGAACCUGCGCUGUCAGGUGAUGGCCUUGAAGCAGACCCAAUGGCCUUCAGUCUACACUCAGGAGCUUUCCCAGGAAUGGAGGAAGGAUUAGGACUUUUUAACUGUCUCUUCUACCCGAGGAAAACUACGGUUUGUUUCCUGCUCUGUUCUGAUGUGAGACUGACC